GAUCUGGGGCGGCCCUGAUUGAUGAUGUACUUGUCAGAACUUUCUAGAAAAUCCUGAGUAAUACACUAAUUUUCAACAGGUCCAAUUGCUUAUGUGAAGUCCAUUAGGUUUCUCCAAAUUCCUGGUGUAGGGAAACUGAUUUCCAUGUUCAUGUCUACCUUGAGACCUGAGUUAGAUCAGCAGGACCCACCUCUCUGUGCCUGCACAGCCUCUGAGAUCAUGUGCUUGUGUACUUAGCGUUCUAGUAGAAAGAGACAAUCAGAGAAGACACCUGACGUUUGCUGCUGGUCUCUGUGCACACACAGGCAUGUGCAUUCGUGCAUAUAGGCACUUUUAUAUGUACAGCACAUGAUUUCCAGGCCAGCCUAAGCUAAAGAAUGAGACUUUGUUUCAAAAAAGGAGUUAAAGUGUCAUGCUGAUUGUAUUCAUGCUGAGUAUAUUACUAACUAGAAAUCAGAAUGAAUUUUCAUUCUAAAAUUACCUUCUCCUGUGCAUCCACAGGUAGAACUUAUGUCCAGGACCUUUGGUAACUCUGCUACUUUGUCCUUUAAGACAAUAAUUCAAGGAACCCCACACUACGAUAGAGUGCACGCAGACAUACACCAUGGACAUAUGCAUGCAUACAUACUUAGACAUACACACAUACAAAAUGGAUACACAGCCACAGUUUUUAAACUAUCCUGUCUACUGCUUCAGACUGAUAAUAGAUUUGAGGACUGCAGACCCCACCACUGGCUUUUCUGCCACAGACCUUGAGGUGAGAAUGUGAAGCAAUCAGCAAAACCAAACCAGAGGUCUCCUUGUGCUAUAAUUGCCUACUUUUCUUCUUUCUUUCUUCCUUUCUUUCUUCCUUUCUUUCUUUCUUUUUCUUUUUUCUUUUCUUUAUUUGAGUUUGAGACAGGGUCUCACUCUCUAGCCCUGACUGACUAGAAUGGAUCUUGAUAUAUAGUCCAGGCCCCCAACUUAAUGACUGUCUACCUCUGCCUCCCAAGUGCUGAGAUGAAAAACGUGUGCCACAAUGCCUGGCUUUGACCUUUCUGUUUGCAUGUUUGCUGAGUCAAAGGAUGGCCCUGGCUUCUUUCUCUGAGUGACUGAUUUAGAUGUUCAAAUGCAGAGCUGUUUUAACUCCUUAUAACAGACAUGAGGCUUUGCUACCCUAGAAACCUAAACAAUGGAUAUUAUCCAUUCAUGAUGGAGAUCUGAUUAUUUUUACAAUGUGUUAUUGUUUAAGAUGUGUGUGUGUGUGUGUGUGUGUGUGUGUGUGUGUGACUGAAUGAGAGAGGAUAUCAUCCUAUGAUCCAGCAGGCUGGCCUAGAAUUCACUGAGGAGUUUAUGUUGGCCUCCAACAUGAAGUCUCUUCCUGCAGAAGCCAGGAGAGGGCAUUUGACCUCCUUUUACUGAGGUUACAGACAGUUGUGAGCACCAUGUGGGUACUGAAAACCAAAACUAGAUCCUCUGGAAAAGCCGCCAGUACUCUUAAUCACAGAGCCAUCUCUUCAUCCCCUAACAGAUACUCCUUUUCCUUGUAUUUAAGCCAGUAUUUGAAUAAUAGCCAUCUGGAGAAGGGACCAUCAGGUG
rnacentral:lncRNA from 1 species